rnacentral:rRNA from 1 species
UAUUGGGCAAUGGGCGCAAGCCUGACCCAGCAACGCCGCGUGAAGGAAGAAGGCUUUCGGGUUGUAAACUUCUUUUAUCAGGGACGAAGCAAGUGACGGUACCUGAUGAAUAAGCCACGGCUAACUACGUGCAAGCAGCCGCGGUAAUACGUAGGUGGCAAGCGUUAUCCGGAUUUACUGGUUGUAAAGGGCGUGUAGGCGGGAGUGCAAGUCAGAUGUGAAAACUAUGGGCUCAACCCUUAGCCUGCAUUUGAAACUGUACUUCUUGAGUGCUGGAGAGGCAAUCGGAAUUCCGUGUGUAGCGGUGAAAUGCGUAGAUAUACGGAGGAACACCAGUGGCGAAGGCGGAUUGCUGGACAGUAACUGACGCUGAGGCGCGAAAGCGUGGGGAGCAAACAGG